rnacentral:misc_RNA from 1 species
AAGUCGUAACAAGGUAACCGUAGGUGAACCUGCGGUUGGAUCAUUACUGAAUACUCAUCCGGGAUUCCGCACCGGAUACCGGACACGCUCCUCGGAGUUUUGUCCGGCGUCCGGGAAUCCCGCAUGAUAUUACACCCCCUUGUGAAUUGUUACCCGUAUUUUGGCAGCCGUCCGAGGAAUUCCCCCUUUAACUUAAGCGGGGUUUUUCUUUUUCCGGCCGCCAGCAACAAAAACAACAAAAAAAAACUAUGUUCCUGAAAAAACGGAACUUUUUCAUUCCGUCUCACAUGUAGAACAUUUUCAUUUUUGGGUAUACAUGUAAAGAAAAAAUGUAAACAACUUUUGACAACGGAUCUCUUGGCUCUC